rnacentral:rRNA from 1 species
UACGUAGGGUGCGAGCGUUGUCCGGAAUUACUGGGCGUAAAGAGCUCGUAGGUGGUUUGUCGCGUUGUUCGUGAAAUCUCACGGCUUAACUGUGAGCGUGCGGGCGAUACGGGCAGACUAGAGUACUGCAGGGGAGACUGGAAUUCCUGGUGUAGCGGUGGAAUGCGCAGAUAUCAGGAGGAACACCGGUGGCGAAGGCGGUUCUCUGGGCCUGUGCUGACGCUGAGGAGCGAAAGCGUGGGGAGCGAACAGG